rnacentral:rRNA from 1 species
AUACGUAGGGGGCGAGCGUUAUCCGGAAUUAUUGGGCGUAAAGAGUACGUAGGUGGUUUCCUAAGCGAGGGGUUUAAGGCACUGGCUUAACCAAUGUUCGCCCCCCGAACUGGGGAACUUGAGUGCUGGAGAGGAAAGCGGAAUUCCUAGUGUAGCGGGGAAAUGCGUAGAUAUUAGGAGGAACACCAGUGGCGAAGGCGGCUUUCUGGACAGUAACUGACACUGAGGUACGAAAGUGUGGGGAGCAAACAGGAUUAGAUACCCUGGUAGUCCACACCGUAAACGAUGAGCACUAGGUGUCGGGCUCGCAAGAGUUCGGUGCCGCAGUUAACGCAUUAAGUGCUCCGCCUGGGGAGUACGUACGCAAGUAUGAAACUCACAUGAAUUGGCGGGG